rnacentral:rRNA from 1 species
UACGAAGGGUGCAAGCGUUACUCGGAAUUACUGGGCGUAAAGCGUGCGUAGGUGGUUCGUUAAGUCUGAUGUGAAAGCCCUGGGCUCAACCUGGGAAUGGCAUUGGAUACUGGCGACCUAGAGUGCGGUAGAGGGGUGUGGAAUUCCGGGUGUAGUGGUGAAAUGCGUAGAGAUCCGGAGGAACACCAGUGGCGAAGGCGACACGCUGGGCCGUACCUGACGCUAAAGCGCGACAGCAUGGGAGCAACGGG